rnacentral:lncRNA from 10 species
GUAUUCCAUUGUGUAUAUGAACCACAUUUUAAAAAUCCAUUCAUUCAUUGUUGGAAUCAACAUUUUUGAACAGUAUGAGUUGGAGAUCCAAUUCACUUUUGCCCAUCCUUUCUCCAAUAAUAUGCAAAGUCACUUCUUUUGGAUUUCAAUUAGCACAUGUGUGUUGCUUCAUUUUAUGGCUGUUUUAGUCCAUUUGAAUUUCUGAUAGUUUUCCUAUAGGAUUUGUUUUUGCUAUUCAUAGAGUGCUAUAAUGUCAGCUUGAUUUUCUCCCUUUUCAAUCUUUACAUUUUCAACUCCUACUUGUCUUAUCUUGCUAUACUGACUAGGAGUUAGAUUCUAAGUAUUAGGUUAAAGGGUUUCCUUUGACUCCUUUCCUACUUUGGAGUAGGGUGGAGGGUUAAAU